rnacentral:rRNA from 1 species
AACGAACGCUGGCGGCAGGCCUAACACAUGCAAGUCGAACGCUGUAGCAAUACAGAGUGGCAGACGGGUGAGUAACGCGUGGGAACCUUCCCAAUGGUGCGGAAUAGCUCAGGGAAACUUGAGGUAAUACCGCAUAAGCCCUUAGGGGGAAAGAUUUAUCGCCAUUGGAUGGGCCCGCGUCGGAUUAGCUAGUUGGUGAGGUAAUGGCUCACCAAGGCAACGAUCCGUAGCUGGUUUGAGAGAAUGACCAGCCACAUUGGGACUGAGACACGGCCCAGACUCCUACGGGAGGCAGCAGUGGGGAAUAUUGCACAAUGGGGGAAACCCUGAUGCAGCAACGCCGCGUGAGUGAUGAAGGCCCUAGGGUUGUAAAGCUCUUUCACCGGUGAAGAUAAUGACGGUAACCGGAGAAGAAGCCCCGGCUAACUUCGUGCCAGCCGCCGCAGUAACAC